AGCGAACGCUGGCGGUAGACCUAACACAUGCAAGUCGAACGGCAGCACAGUAAGAGCUUGCUCUUACGGGUGGCGAGUGGCGGACGGGUGAGGAAUACAUCGGAAUCUACUUUUUCGUGGGGGAUAACGUAGGGAAACUUACGCUAAUACCGCAUACGACCUACGGGUGAAAGCAGGGGAUCUUCGGACCUUGCGCGAUUGAAUGAGCCGAUGUCGGAUUAGCUAGUUGGCGGGGUAAAGGCCCACCAAGGCGACGAUCCGUAGCUGGUCUGAGAGGAUGAUCAGCCACACUGGAACUGAGACACGGUCCAGACUCCUACGGGAGGCAGCAGUGGGGAAUAUUGGACAAUGGGCGCAAGCCUGAUCCAGCCAUACCGCGUGGGUGAAGAAGGCCUUCGGGUUGUAAAGCCCUUUUGUUGGGAAAGAAAAGCAGCAGGUUAAUACCCCGCUGUUCUGACGGUACCCAAAGAAUAAGCACCGGCUAACUUCGUG
rnacentral:rRNA from 1 species